UCUUAUGGAUGAGCAAAUAAAGUGGUUUCUUGAGUUGUAACCUACUUCUAGUGAAGAUGCUGUGAA
rnacentral:pre_miRNA from 1 species